GAAGAAAAAUAAAGUGGGAUAAGGCACUAAAUAAAGUGACAAGGUGCACCAGGAAGGUGGCAUAAAAAUUUUGAUGUGCUCCUAGAAAGUCAAAGCUUGCCUUUUCUGAUAUUGUCUAUUUCACACUUUAUAGAUAUUGCUAUCUACCCCAAGCACUUUACAUCAUGAUAUAUUAAUCACUUUAUCCUUAACGUUAAAUAUUUUCUAAAGACAUAUUGAAAUGUACUUAAUCCAUAUUUGCAUGUCUCACUAUUAUUUCAGGGUUUUUUUUUAAAUAAUUUUCUUCCUUUUGGUGUGAUAUAAUAGUUUGUAGUAAAGAUCUAUCAUAAUCACUUUUAUUAUAUUUUAUUUGUUCUUCACAUUGCCUUUAUCCUUACUUUUUUAAACAAAUGAAAGAUGAAAAUGCAAGUCAAGUAACUUGGGCUGCAUUGGCUUGAAUGGUUUUUUCUUUUUAAAAUUGAGCUAAUUUUGAUCUUGAUCUCAUCCUGAAAAUUCAUGCUGAACUUGGGCUUUUCUUCAGCCCAUCUUGGUUACAGUCUUAUCUAGGAGGAAAUACUAGUCUAAACUACAAAAGUUUGGUAGAUUCAUAUCAUAUGUAGUGAGCAAAAUAAUAGUAAUCUUUCAUGCUAUGGAAAUCUCAAGUUCAUCUGACCGAAGAAGAAAUGAGAUCUAUAAAUGAUCAUUUUCCAUUUUUUUUUCUCCUCUUAAAGUUCUUUCUAUGAAGCUUCAGAAUUCUCUAGGUGUCUUUGAAGUCAAAAUUUAGUAAGCAUAUACUUUUCUAUGCGAAGAGAAUCUUGGCUCAAUGGUAAGGUUGCUCUUUUAUGAAUGAUUAUGAAA
rnacentral:misc_RNA from 1 species